AGAGUUUGAUCCUGGCUCAGGACGAACGCUGGCGGCGUGCUUAACACAUGCAAGUCGAACGGAAAGGUCUCUUCGGAGAUACUCGAGUGGCGAACGGGUGAGUAACACGUGGGUGAUCUGCCCUGCACUUCGGGAUAAGCCUGGGAAACUGGGUCUAAUACCGGAUAGGACCACGGGAUGCAUGUCUUGUGGUGGAAAGCGCUUUAGCGGUGUGGGAUGAGCCCGCGGCCUAUCAGCUUGUUGGUGGGGUGACGGCCUACCAAGGCGACGACGGGUAGCCGGCCUGAGAGGGUGUCCGGCCACACUGGGACUGAGAUACGGCCCAGACUCCUACGGGAGGCAGCAGUGGGGAAUAUUGCACAAUGGGCGCAAGCCUGAUGCAGCGACGCCGCGUGGGGGAUGACGGCCUUCGGGUUGUAAACCUCUUUCACCAUCGACGAAGGUCCGGGUUCUCUCGGAUUGACGGUAGGUGGAGAAGAAGCACCGGCCAACUACGUGCCAGCAGCCGCGGUAAUACGUAGGGUGCGAGCGUUGUCCGGAAUUACUGGGCGUAAAGAGCUCGUAGGUGGUUUGUCGCGUUGUUCGUGAAAUCUCACGGCUUAACUGUGAGCGUGCGGGCGAUACGGGCAGACUAGAGUACUGCAGGGGAGACUGGAAUUCCUGGUGUAGCGGUGGAAUGCGCAGAUAUCAGGAGGAACACCGGUGGCGAAGGCGGGUCUCUGGGCAGUAACUGACGCUGAGGAGCGAAAGCGUGGGGAGCGAACAGGAUUAGAUACCCUGGUAGUCCACGCCGUAAACGG
rnacentral:rRNA from 1 species